ensembl:lncRNA
CCCCCACCCAAGAUAAGCCUGAGCACACGCGUGUGAUCGGUGGGGGCUGUAAUGAGCCGUUCCACUCGGCCGCGUUCAGCCUUUAUUGUGGUUUUCGUGCAGUCGGCAGAGCUGUUUGUUCUUUAAAGGACUGAGAUGCCAGCAACGACUACGAAUACGCUGAACCUGAUACAGAUUGUGGGGGUCAAAUAGCAGCUGGAGAUGUGCAGUAAAAGAACAAGAAGAAGUGCAGCCCUCAGGAGAAGCUGAGUGAAGGUCUCCUGUGGGCGGCGCGUCUCCGUCACAACCUCAAAGAUACAAGACGAAACCACAAAUCAUCAUUUCGUGGCCUCGUUUGUCUUCUUCAUCUCCGCGGCGGCGCUGAAGUCAAAGCCGCGGCGCCGCACAGAAAACUCACAUAUUGACUGAACGUGGCGCGCUGGCCCUCGAGAAGGAAGGGGAAGAAGAGCUGGAACACCACCAGCGUGGAGUUACGGAGGCCGCCGCGGUGAACGCGACAUGGAGGACCUCCGCCGUCACAACUAUUAGCUCGGUUCCUCUGACGCCCGGGAACACUGUCGCUUCUGAUCGCUCCUCCAGCGACGACCACGUCCGCUAGAAGAAAAGCCUUCACGCGUUCGGGCUGCAGGGUUCCCGAUGGACCGCUUCUUCUUCUCGCUGGCAUUAACGCCGUCGAACCUUUUUCUGUGUGCGAUCACACGUCGUCUGCGUGGAAACCAGAGGAGGAACAAGAGGACCUGCGAUUACAGGGAGGUUCUUCUGCUAGAGCAUCCGAGGUGACAGCGGAUGGGAAAAGGACCUGAUCAGUAUCUUUAAAAAGGUCUAAACACUAACGGGACAGAUGCGUCUCAGCGCCGCGCUCAUCCCUCAGCUGGAAUCUAAUAACGAACCUAAUGAAGAUCUGCAGGUCGCAGCGUCUUCCUGUGCACCGAUGAAGCUCCAUCCUCCUGUGAAGAGCCCUCUGAGCCCCCCUCCCCCGGGAAAACCCAGUGUGGUUAAACACCAUUUAAAGAUCCUUUAAAUCAAGAAAAACAAAACAAUUAGGAUGUGAAUUGGUAUUGAACGGCGGCUUUGAAGGAGCUCUGAUUCCUGCCGCUGUUUUGUGCGGGUUUGCUGUUUCCCAACAGGAAGCUGUUUUGAUGUGCACGUUUAAUAAUGAACAAAGAGAUCUCUCCCCCGCAGGCGGAUCAUUAUUUCUACCCUACUUUGAAACCCCCGACAUUGUAGUCGUUGUAAUAAAGCCACAGUCUGAUCUUUGACUGUCAUGUACACGUCAUUCUCCGCCGUCUUUCUUUGCAUCCCUUUUCAAAAAAGGAAUCUCAUUAAACAGGAUGUUGUGCAGCAGCCCCCCCGUCCCCCCCCCCGACCCCCCCGGCUGGGGGGAGAUUCCUAAUUGGGCUUUGGGAUCACACACUUGCCCUCGCUCACAUUGAUUUCACCCCUUCCAGCGUCGAGCUUAAGCACCACAUUUUUCAUAGCCUACAUAUUCAAUUAAUGUCGAAGGGAGGUUCCGUUUCCCCUUCAAAGUUCACAGUGGUGGAUAUCGCUCGUGACGGCUCCGUAAUGGAAAGCGUUUAAGCCUCCCGGCUUUUAAUUUCAUGACGUUCGGGAUUGAAACAAUUCUGUGUUGUGGGCCUUUUUAGCAACAGCGGUGAUGCAACGCGGUGGAAACAAAGGAGCGAUUACAUGUUGGGCUCGUGUCAUAUUACAGUGAGUCUUAAAGUUAUUUAGGAGACGGACUAUUCUGAAUUUAAUUACCGAUAACCGCUUUGAUGAAAUCCAUUAAAGGACGAUGAUCCAAAUCGAUGCAGCAGAGCCAGACGUGUCUUCUUUGUUUUGGUUGAUUCCUCUUUAUUGACGCUGGUAAAGUCCUAAGCCCUCAUGGCCUCCUGCAGCUCUGCACCCGUUUAUUCCCACUUAGCCGCUUUAGCGCUGAAGCCACGAGCUCACAGAGGACAGAGAAAUGACAAAACGCUUGUAUUAUAUCAUAUUCAUCACGCCGUGUUUUGAUUGAUGAGCGAAUUUUCCCCCCAUUUACCCAUCUGCCCACGCAAGGCCUUCGAACGCCUUCGUGCUAAAAAAUAAUAAGAGAAGAAAAGUGAAAAGAAAGAAUGAACGUUGACAAAAGCAGCUCCGAUCGACACAGACACAAAAGUCAAACAAGGAUUUCCAUAAUGUGUUUUUUGGCUGAUUAAAACAAUCCGUUUGAAUAUCUGCAGCCUCCUCUGAAG